rnacentral:lncRNA from 1 species
CCUCUUAACAUAAUGUUGAAUAACCAAGAAUACACCAUUGAAUGAAUGGAAAGAACCAAGAACUAAGGAAAAUAUGAUCUACUUGUUUUAUUAAUAAAAGGUCUAAUAUCUCAAUAGAGACGAGCUUGAUUUAUAUACAGAGAGAAUUAGAUCAGUUAUAGAGUAUGGUUAGUUCUAAUAGUAAACCUAGACUAAACCUCUUCUGCAACUGUAUCUAACAGAAAACAACUAACUGUAAAACUAAGACAAGCUUGCCAGGUUCCAGCCAAACCAUACAUGUCAAAGCGCAUAUGUAUGUAUGAGAGUGAUGUUGUUCCAAUAGGGUCGGAAGCGUGUAAAUUAUUGUACUAAAAAAUCACACAAAGUUCAAUUCCCAGGGAAGAGAGGUGGAUCACAAGGAUCUCUUAAAUACCAAGUCUUUCCUUAGUCAGAAUAUUCCUUCUAACGUAAUUUAAUAGCACAAUUAAAUACUACUAUUAUACCCUCAAAUAUUGAAAGAAAAAUAGGACAAAAAGAACAUAAGAGUUUUAACGAGGUUCGGUAAAUUAUACCUACGUCCUCGGGCACUAACACCAGAUGAUAACUUUACUAUCUCCAAAAUAUUACAAACAAAUAGAAUUCCUUAAGAAUUCUCAAAUGGGAGAAGAGAGAAAACUAAGAGAGAAAGAUUGGUUGGGAUGGUUGAAAUGAAAAAUGAAAAGGCCUAUUUAUAGUUGAAGUUCAGGGACUAACUUGCAAAUGCCCUAAAAAAUUAGAGACCAAAAUUGCAAUUAUCCCAUUCAACUUUUCAACAUUCGGUGCAACUUGCUCAACCUUUUUAACAAGUUGCUUCCUACCUUUGUUGACCUUUCAACAAUCUCCACCUUGAAGAUUUGAUUAGGAUAAUCACAUCUUCACACACUUCCUUCAACUCCCCAAAUUCGAUAAAGUUAUCUUUUGUAGUGCCUCUAAAUGCGCUCUCGAGCGCCAUACACCUGUAGGUGCUCAAAUUCUCAGGAUGUUAAUCAAGUUCGAACAAUGAUUAAACUUGAUUGUUGUUACCACUUUGGUCAUCAUAUCUGCGGGAUUAUCUGCUGUCGGAAUUUUCUGAAGUAGAAUUUCCUUUUUCAAAGACUUCCCGCACAAAGUGAUAUCUUACGUCGAUAUGCUUGGUUCUUGAAUGAUAGACUUGAUUUUUCGCUAAAUGAAUAGCACUCUGACUGUCACAAUAUAGACUAAUGUGACUUUGAACAACUCCCAAGUCUUUCAAUAAUCCAUUAAGCCAAAUAGCCUCCUUAACAGCUUCUGUAACUGCCAUAUAUUCUGCCUCUGUAGUAGAUACAGCUACUGUAGACUGUAAGGUAGACUUCCAACUCACUGGGGCUUUCGCAAUAGUAAACAGAUACCCCGUAGUUGGAAGUCUACCUUACAGUCUACAGUAGCUGUGUCUACUACAGAGGCAGAAUAUAUGGCAGUUACAGAAGCUGUUAAGGAGGCUAUUUGGCUUAAUGGAUUAUUGAAAGACUUGGGAGUUGUUCAAAGUCACAUUAGUCUAUAUUGUGACAGUCAGAGUGCUAUUCAUUUAGCGAAAAAUCAAGUCUAUCAUUCAAGAACCAAGCAUAUCGACGUAAGAUAUCACUUUGUGCGGGAAGUCUUUGAAAAAGGAAAUUCUACUUCAGAAGAUUCCGACAGCAGAUAAUCCCGCAGAUAUGAUGAUCAAAGUGGUAACAACAAUCAAGUUUAAUCAUUGUUUGAACUUGAUUAACAUCCUGAGAAUUUGAGCACCUACAGGUGUAUGGCGCUCGAGAGCGCAUUUAGAGGCACUACAAAAGAUAACUUUAUCGAAUUUGGGGAGUUGAAGGAAGUGUGUGAAGAUGUGAUUAUCCUAAUCAAAUCUUCAAGGUGGAGAUUGUUGAAAGGUCAACAAAGGUAGGAAGCAACUUGUUAAAAAGGUUGAGCAAGUUGCACCGAAUGUUGAAAAGUUGAAUGGGAUAAUUGCAAUUUUGGUCCCUAAUUUUUUAGGGCAUUUGCAAGUUAGUCCCUGAACUUCAACUAUAAAUAGGCCUUUUCAUUUUUCAUUUCAACCAUCCCAACCAAUCUUUCUCCUGUACAUCAUCUGGUUUCUCUUCAUCAAUGGUAAUGUCUAGACCUUGCUGAAAAAGGGCAUCUAGAACCUCACUUUGCCACAUACCAAAAUGGCCCGUGCCAUCAAAGAUCUCCACGGCCAAUCUUGCAUUUGCAAUUGUCGGUCUUGUCCACAUGGACGAUGUUGAAGCUCCUACACCGACCGUUUUCUCCAUAAUCUUUCAAUAUACCUAAGGAAAUCUUUUCUGAUGUGGAAGAUCAGUUUAAACUGCAACCACAGAGCAUACUACGAUUAACCUUCGGCUCUUGAUACCACUUGUUGUUCCAAUAGGGUCGGAAGCGUGUAAAUUAUUGUACUAAAAAAUCACACAAAGUUCAAUUCCCAGGGAAGAGAGGUGGAUCACAAGGAUCUCUUAAAUACCAAGUCUUUCCUUAGUCAGAAUAUUCCUUCUAACGUAAUUUAAUAGCACAAUUAAAUACUACUAUUAUACCCUCAAAUAUUGAAAGAAAAAUAGGACAAAAAGAACAUAAGAGUUUUAACGAGGUUCGGUAAAUUAUACCUACGUCCUCGGGCACUAACACCAGAUGAUAACUUUACUAUCUCCAAAAUAUUACAAACAAAUAGAAUUCCUUAAGAAUUCUCAAAUGGGAGAAGAGAGAAAACUAAGAGAGAAAGAUUGGUUGGGAUGGUUGAAAUGAAAAAUGAAAAGGCCUAUUUAUAGUUGAAGUUCAGGGACUAACUUGCAAAUGCCCUAAAAAAUUAGGGACCAAAAUUGCAAUUAUCCCAUUCAACUUUUCAACAUUCGGUGCAACUUGCUCAACCUUUUUAACAAGUUGCUUCCUACCUUUGUUGACCUUUCA